rnacentral:rRNA from 1 species
AGUGAACGCUGGCGGUAGGCCUAACACAUGCAAGUCGAACGGCAGCACAGUAAGAGCUUGCUCUUACGGGUGGCGAGUGGCGGACGGGUGAGGAAUACAUCGGAAUCUACUUUUUCGUGGGGGAUAACGUAGGGAAACUUACGCUAAUACCGCAUACGACCUACGGGUGAAAGCAGGGGAUCUUCGGACCUUGCGCGAUUGAAUGAGGCGAUGUCGGAUUAGCUAGUUGGCGGGGUAAAGGCCCACCAAGGCGACGAUCCGUAGCUGGUCUGAGAGGCUGAUCAGCCACACUGGAACUGAGACACGGUCCAGACUCCUACGGGAGGCAGCAGUGGGGAAUAUUGGACAAUGGGCGCAAGCCUGAUCCAGCCAUACCGCGUGUGUGAAGAAGGCCUUCGGUUUGUAAAGCCCUUUUGUUGGGAAAGAAAAGCAGCAGGUUAAUACCACGCUGUCCUGACGGUACCCAAAGAAUAAGCACCGGCUAACUACGUG